rnacentral:rRNA from 1 species
AGCGAACGCUGGCGGCAGGCCUAACACAUGCAAGUCGAACGGAUCCUUCGGGAUUAGUGGCGGACGGGUGAGUAACACGUGGGAACGUGCCCUUUGGUUCGGAACAACUCAGGGAAACUUGAGCUAAUACCGGAUGUGCCCUUCGGGGGAAAGAUUUAUCGCCAUUGGAGCGGCCCGCGCCUGAUUAGCUAGUUGGUGAGGUAAAGGCUCACCAAGGCGACGAUCAGUAGCUGGUCUGAGAGGAUGAUCAGCCACAUUGGGACUGAGACACGGCCCAAACUCCUACGGGAGGCAGCAGUGGGGAAUCUUGCGCAAUGGGCGAAAGCCUGACGCAGCCAUGCCGCGUGAAUGAUGAAGGUCUUAGGAUUGUAAAAUUCUUUCACCGGGGACGAUAAUGACGGUACCCGGAGAAGAAGCCCCGGCUAACUUCGUGCCAGCAGCCGCGGUAAUACGAAGGGGGCUAGCGUUGCUCGGAAUUACUGGGCGUAAAGCGUGCGCAGGCGGUUGUGCAAGACAGAUGUGAAAUCCCCGGGCUCAACCUGGGAACUGCAUU